ACGUUAGCGGCGGACGGGUGAGUAACACGUGGGUAACCUACCUAUAAGACUGGGAUAACUCCGGGAAACCGGGGGCUAAUACCGGAUAACACAUGAAACCGCAUGGUUUCAUGAUGAAAGACGGUUUUGCUGUCACUUAUAGAUGGACCCGCGGCGUAUUAGCUAGUUGGUAAGGUAACGGCUUACCAAGGCAACGAUACGUAGCCGACCUGAGAGGGUGAUCGGCCACACUGGAACUGAGACACGGUCCAGACUCCUACGGGAGGCAGCAGC
rnacentral:rRNA from 1 species